rnacentral:rRNA from 1 species
GAAUAUUGGACAAUGGGCGCAAGCCUGAUCCAGCCAUGCCGCGUGCAGGAUGACGGUCCUAUGGAUUGUAAACUGCUUUUAUACGAGAAGAAACACUACUUCGUGAAGUAGCUUGACGGUAUCGUAAGAAUAAGGAUCGGCUAACUCCGUGCCAGUAGCCGCGGUAAUACGGAGGAUCCAAGCGUUAUCCGGAAUCAUUGGGUGUAAAGGGUCCGUAGGCGGUGUAGUAAGUCAGUGGUGAAAGCCCAGCGCUCAACGGUGGAACGGCCAUUGAUACUGCUAGACUUGAAUUAUUAGGAAGUAACUAGAAUAUGUAGUGUAGCGGUGAAAUGCUUAGAGAUUACAUGGAAUACCAAUUGCGAAGGCAGGUUACUACUAAUUGAUUGACGCUGAUGGACGAAAGCGUGGGUAGCGAACAGG